AAGAUGUUAGUAAAACCAUUACAUAGCCUUGUCAAGGCUAAAUCACAAGUGAAAACCCUGUACAUCUUA
rnacentral:tRNA from 1 species